UGGUUAUAAUAGCAGAGAGGAUACACCUGUUCCCAUUCCGAACACAGAAGUUAAGCUCUCUAGCGCUGAUGGUACUUGGUGGG
rnacentral:rRNA from 1 species